rnacentral:ncRNA from 1 species
CUCAUUAAAUCAGUUAUGGUUCAUUUGAUCGUACAGUUUACUUGCAUAACUGUGGUAAUUCUAGAGCUAAUACAUGCGAGAAGCGCCGACCUCGCGGGAGGCGUGCAUUUAUCAGACCAAAAACCGGCCGCGUCUUCGGGCGCGUUCGCCUUGGUGACUCUGGAUAACUUUGCGGAUCGCACGGUCUAGCACCGGCGACGGAUCAUUCAAGUGUCUGCCCUAUCAACUUUCGUCGGUACGGUAUUUGCCUACCGAGGUUCUUACGGGUGACGGGGAAUCAGGGUUCGAUUCCGGAGAGGGAGCCUGAGAAACGGCUACCACAUCCAAGGAAGGCAGCAGGCGCGCAAAUUACCCAUUCCCGACGCGGGGAGGUAGUGACGAAAAAUAACAAUGCAGGACUCGUUCGAGGCCCUGUAAUUGGAAUGAGUACACUUUAAAAGCUUUAACGAGUAUCCAUUGGAGGGCAAGUCUGGUGCCAGCAGCCGCGGUAAUUCCAGCUCCAAAAGUAUAUAUUUAAGUUGUUGCGGUUAAAAAGCUCGUAGUUGGAUUUUGGGCGCAGGCGGCCGGUCCGUCGCAAGGCGUGUACUGGACGUCCUGGCCUUCCCUCCGGUUCUCCGCCGGUGCUCUUGACUGAGUGUCGGCGGCGGCCGGAACGUUUACUUUGAAAAAAUUAGAGUG